UACGUAGGGUGCGAGCGUUGUCCGGAAUUAUUGGGCGUAAAGAGCUCGUAGGCGGUCUGUCGCGUCUGCUGUGAAAACUCAGGGCUUAACCCUGAGCUUGCAGUGGGUACGGGCAGACUAGAGUGGCGGUAGGGGAGACUGGAAUUCCGUGGUGUAGCGGUGAAAUGCGCAGAUAUCAGGAGGAACACCGGUGGCGAAGGCGGGUCUCCUGG
rnacentral:rRNA from 1 species